UACGAAGGGUGCGAGCGUUAUUCGGAAUCACUGGGCGUAAAGAGUGCGUAGGCGGUCCAUUAAGUUUGUUGUUAAAGACUCUAGCCUAACUGGAGGGUUGCAAUGAAAACUGGUGAGCUAGAGGGUGAGAGAGAGAAGUGGAAUUCCUGGAGUAGCGGUAAAAUGCGUGGAUCUCGGGAGGAACACCAAUGGCGAAGGCAGCUUCUUGGCUCAUUCCUGACGUUGAGGCACGAAAGCGUGGGGAGCAAACAGG
rnacentral:rRNA from 1 species